AAUUUAUAAUUUAUAAUCGUAUAAUAUAUAUUAACGGCAGUGAAUUAAGGCCGUUGAUUACACACGACCAUUUAAGUAUAUCGAAACACCACAUCGAUAUAGUUUCAAAUAUUUUCAGUGCUGGAAAUGUUAAAAACUAUUAUAAUUUUUAAUUUAAAUAUAUUAUAUAAAUAAAAUAAUGUAUAAUUUAAUAUAAAUGCGUGAUAAACAUAAUGCCGUUUAACAUAUCUUUUGCUUCUGAAAUUUGACGCCAAUUACAUUAUAAUUAUAUGUUUACAUACCAUUAUCAAUAACUGGUAUUAGACGAGCUUAUAUAUUUAUUAUUUUAUCUGAAGUGAUUCCGCAAAAUAGAAGAGAAAUAGGGAAAAAGAUAGACAAGGAAUAAAAGAGGAUGGUUGUUAAAUGCAGAGUAUGUAAAACAGUGAAAUAUGAUACAGCCGUAGUGAAAAUCUGAAAUGAGAAUUUAAUGAGCUGAAAAUGCUUGCACUAUACCAUGUACUAUGUACGCAAUAUUUUUCACCGUAGCAAAUCCUUCUAUGGAAAAAGCAAAAAGGCCACCCAACACUAUUAUAUGAGCCUUUAUAGAUCUUUGUAUAAUUAACAACAAUUUUUGGAUCUGUAAUGGCGCUAGGUACCAAAGAGUAUCAUAUCUAUAAUUUAAACAAACAAUGCAUUAAUAUUUCUAACAAAAAUCAAAUUUUGUGAUUUUUAUGUAUGUAAGAUAUCAAUGAAAAAAUAUACAGGGUAAUUGGUGAUCACGCGACCAUCAGUUAAUGGCGUAUAGUUCGAACUUAGCUGAGUCGAAAAGUCUUGCACCAUUUUGCGAUUUGCAAUAAUAACCGAGUUAUUAAGGAUUAAUAUUAACGUAUGAGAGCGCGGCUCGUGCAGCGAGGCCAUCGGUAGGAGGGCACAGUCAGGCAGUGAUGCCAGAAAGCGUGCGACGAUUCCCGAGACCAUUUCUACUCCAUCCCCACCGCAUGCUACAAAGCGAAAGAAAUGCUUUCUGGCAUCACUGUCUCCAUCGAAAAUCGCAAAAUGGUACAAGACUUUUCGACUCAGCUAAGUCCAAACUAUAUGCCAUUAACCGGCGAUCGUGUGGUCACUAAACAUCUUGUAUAAAUGCAGCUUACAGAUUUGCGCAUGAUACACAUUAUUUUGCAAAUUAAUACAUAUUUUAAUACAUAUUAAUACAUAUAGGAGUAGGAGAAUCUGAUAGAUUUUUUCAGACAAACAAAUCGUCCGACGGCAAUCGAAAAUGGAUUUGAAAGGUGAAGACUAGAACUAUACGAUACCAUUGGCAAAAAUGUUUCAAAAAAUUUGGUUUUCCCAUAAUAAAUUCAUGAAAUUGGCCGAAAUAGCCAUUUUUGGAAAUAGCCAUUUAACUAUAAAUUAUACUCAAACACCUGACGUGCAGGGAAAAUUCUGCGACCAGAUUCGUUCAGCGUCAAAAAAUCUAUCAGAUUCUCCUACUCUGCUUUUUGUAAUUAACAAAAUCUAACAUUUCGCAGGCCUGUGGUAUUAGUGUAAAACAGAAUCAGAAACAAAUUAUCUGUUAUACUAGUUAUAUCAUAAUAUACACGAAAUUAUUUAUUAUUAUUAUCAUUAUUAUUACUUACGUAGAUUUCACAAUCUCUAUACUGUGUUCAGUAUAUGAUUGUGCAAUAAAAUUAGUAAAAAACAUAUAUAUGAAACAAGUAUUCAAUAGCACACAGCAGACAAAAAUAUCAUAGAAAUCAAUAUCAUUAAUAUGUAGUAGAGCAUUGUACAGCUAGAAAAAAUUUGUAUCGUAUAUAAUUUUAAUAUGUAUAAAUUUACAUAUUAUAUACGUAAGGUAAUUAAAUUAUAUAUAGCAUCAAAAAAGUACAAGAUAUCCUAGAUAUACUGUUUUAGGAAAUAAAAAAUGCAUGCUAGUGUCACGAAAGAAACAACAACUUUAUAAUUCACAGCAAUGAUAAGUUUUGCAUUAAUAAUAUUUUAUCAAAGUGCAUAAGUAGAUAAUAAUAAUUAGCAGAGUCCAGAAGGACUAAAGCAUAAAGUUAUUUACUUUUUAUUCACAUAAAAUUAUUUACUUUUUAUUCACACAAUUAUUCACAAAGGUGAAUGUUAACCAUUAAUGAGCAUAACAGUGAAUUUUUUGGUUCGGCUUUAUUUAUACUGUGCUAUGUAUCUAAUUUUUAAUAUAUUUUAAUACACAUUCUUAUAUAAAUCACAUUCUUAUAUAAAAGUUUUCAUGAUUGUCCGCAAUUCUAAUCCAAAGCAAAUUAAAACAAAUGUGAAGUAAGUAAAAAAUUCGAAUAUAUUAAUAAGUAUUACUUAUGCGAAGUAGAAGGACACUUAAACACAGUAUGCAAAUUAAAAUUAACGGAAAAUACCACACAUAAACAGUGUCCAAGAAGUUUUUCAUGAACCUUUAAUGUAAAAAAAUAUAUGAUAAAUAUAUGAUACGUCUAAUUAUUGUUAAAGCUAUACAUUUCUGGCUGCAAAUGCAGACAAAGGUGAAUAUUAAUGAUUAAUACAAUGAAUAAGAAAAACAUUAACUUGUAUAAAAACUAACUUGAAAGUUCUGCGGUGAAUGUAAACAGAAAAAGAAAUGCUUCGAUGUAUAAAUUGUAUCUGUUGCGUAACAGGAAUUUGCAGCGUGUGAACAAUCACUGUAUUUUGAAUUAAACAACUAAAACGAUUUAUAUGAAAUAAUUAGUCAAUCGUAGCUCUAUUGUUAAUAAAGAUAUUAUAUAUGCUUACCUUGCAAUUUUAUAUGUUGCGCUGCUGUGUCUCACAAGCGUAAGGCAAAAUGUUCCAGGUACCAGUAUCGUGAAAAAACCAAUGCCCACUCCUAGUAAUUCUUGUGUAACAUACAAAUAGAAAUAUUCCUCUUUAUCAAGAAACAAUUCAUAAUCUACUUCAAUUUUACGUGGUCGGGAUACAUUUAUCGGCAUAAUAGCAUCAAGAAUGACAAGACUACAUUCAAGAGCCGCCCAAGAGAAUAAAAAUGGCGGACAAAUUACUAGAAAAAACACAUAAAUUGAAAUGCAGCUCCAGUUAAUAUCAUACAAAAAUUAUAAUUUCAUUUGUGAUUCACUUACAACACGCAAAUAAUGCGAAAACAUAAGAUAGGAAGAGAUAUUCUUCAAAUACUUUACGUGUGUCACUAUUUUCAAACAUUUUCCAAUCCAACUGCAUAUGUUCCAACGCUUGCUUUAGCUUUUCUCAAACAUAUAUAUCACAAAUAUAUACAUAAUACAGCAGGAUUAGAACUUUUGAAAAUUUUACAUAACACAUAAAAAACGCAAAUAAUACUCACAAUUUCAGAAUUGAAAUAGAAAGAACAGUAACACAAAACAUAAACCAAAGAUAAACAGAUAUAAGGAAAUCUUUUUAGGAUACAGUCCAUGUUACAUGUUGUCGUUAAAAAGGCUGUUAACUACAAACAAUACAAA